GGGGUCGACUGGUUUUGACAGCGAGAUUUAUUAACCAGUAAGCACGUCGUGCUAUGAUAUUAACACACGUAACAUGUUGUAUCAACUUUUUAAACGGCGAGAAUAACUACGCUUUAGCUGCAUAAUCUGAAUUAUAGUAAGAUUUGCCUCGGCGCACAAGGUGCGCAAGCUAAAUGUCCUUGGAAAGCCUUGGUUAGUGGCGUUCCGCUUAAGGGCAUCGUAAAAAUUAACCUAGAACCAUUAGCGCUUUGAUAAGGGUUCGACAUUUUAAAAGCUAAGUUGUAAUUAGGUUGUUUUUUGCCGGCUUACAAACGAAAAUUAAGAAAAAACUAAACGUGUAGAAAGCUGCUUGGUAACUUGUUUGGACGAGGGUUCGAAUCCCUCCGACUCCACUU
rnacentral:tmRNA from 1 species